UUAAGUUCAGCGGGUAGUCCUACCUGAUUUGAGGUCAAAUAGUCAAUAAAUUGUCUGAAACAACAGACGGUUAGAAAGCAGAUAAAUUUCCCACAAUCAGAUAAAGCAACUUAAUGCGAUAUCACAACCAGGAUCUAGCCUAAGCACACCUGACAGUUGAACCAAGCAAAGCGUAGAUAAUUAUCACACCAAGAUGGACC
rnacentral:misc_RNA from 1 species